UUCACCAAUUUGAACUGGAAUUAAAAGGAACAAUUUUUUGUUUGUUUGGAGGAAAUGUAAGCAUUUUAACAUUAGCCCAAGAAGCUCAAUGGAUGAAGACUCACUUGCAUACAAUAGGAAUAUGAAAACCGGUGAUUUCCAUGAAAAUAGAAAAUGAAGAGCAGGAAAAGGAAGUGGAAGCUGCAGAGGAGAGAAAGAAGAGCAGCCUGGCUGCUGGUGGGGAAGCGCGGAGAUUGCCAUCACCGGCACAUCCACAGCAGCACUCAGACACGGCUGAAAAUUAAAUUAAAAACACCAAUUGGGAAGAAUUCCAGCUUCAAACAAUUUGCUUCUAAUCAAGGAACUAGACAUUGUUUCAGUGGUGCUGGCACCUCGUCCUCUCCAGGGUAAGCCCUGGCAAUUUCUAAAAUAAUGAAUCCACUGUCAUCUCAAAGGACUUCAUCAAAGCACCUAGAGAAACACAGGUCCAGCUGAUAGCUAAGCAGGACAGGAUCGCACCCUUACCGUUCGCACAAGGGGGUAAAUAACCCACCAGGACAAGAAGACGACAUUGACCUGUUGGACACAACUCUUGGUCGUACCGUUUCACUGCAGAGCAGUUUCCUCUGCCUAUCCCAUGACGCUGUAACGUCAACUCACCCCAGAAAAAAAGUCCCAGCCCACAACCCUCUGGCACUGACACUGCGCUGCUCCACCUGGCUUCACUGCCGAUGGCUCUACUGGGACACGUGCAACACAAAUGGCAUCUUCAGCCUGAAGCACUUGCUCCUUCUAAGACUCAGAUGUCAAAGGACAAGUAAGAACGGAGCAAGCACAUGGUACUCCCCUGAGUGCUAUUCCACCUGCCAGUUACUUCCAGCUCAAAGGGAUUUUCUCAGCCAGCUGUAACUUUGUGCAUUUACUGUCAAAGAAACAGAAAGAGAGAAACAGAGGAAAAGAGAAAAAGAGAAAGAGCACACGUACUGCUUUGCGGUAUACCAAAUAAAGAGGGGAAAAAAGAAAGAAGAACAAACUGAAAAUUUCUAAAGGAAAAUUCCCAGUGGCAGAGCUGGUAGAAGAGCAUGUGUGGACAAGACCUCAGCAUCCUGCCUGGUGGGCUCACGUAAGCUGCCUGGAAGCCCCUGCAGCCUCUGCACAGCGGUGCCUGAAGCUCUGUCCUCCGUCAGCUCCGUACCCUGCCCUGGGAGCCCACAGCAGCAGCCGGGGAAAACAGAACCUUAACAUCCUACAGGUCCCCGCGAAAAAAUACACAACUGGUCUCCAGUUGAUCUCUGUAACCAUCACGAGAGCUGCCUUCCUGCCAGUCAGGAUUCAGGGCAAGGAAGGAGCAACCUUCCUUGCAACCAACCCGGAAAACUGCAGAGGAUAAAAAAAGGAAACGGAAAUUGUUUUUUUAGUCCAGGGCUUCUCAGUCUUUGUGUUGCCUCUAGCCUUUCCAACAGAUGAAACAGCUGGGUAUCCACCUUGCGGUCCUGGUCCCCGAUCAGUGAGAGCCCACCCGUACAUCCCACAAGCAUCACGGGUCCCAGCACUCACCCCAGUCUAGAAGCUAGAAAUCGCACCACAGUCCUGCAGACCAGAGUAGCCAAGCAUCAUCAUUUUCAG